GCAGACACUUGGUCCCUCAGUAAUUCCAAAAGAGUCCUAUAGAGAGAUACACUGUACUCAUUACCUAGGUUCAAUACAAGUUAAGCUCUAUUGGCAUUAUAAAUACCACAGAAAACGCAUUUAUCCAACCUGGUCUCAAAGAACAACGGUUUUGCUGCACGAAUCGCGGCAGUUUCCUGGUGAAAUGAACACUAGAGGCACUAAAACAACGGCUUUUAUUCCCUUUAAAACAAAUCAUGAGUAAAACGGCAGAUUUUGCAUUCAUAAACAGUUUUCUUCUGAUAUCUACACACUUUUGCUAUAGCGCGUGAUUUGCUUUAAAAUUUGCAUUACAUAACUACAUUUACAAGCUUGUUCAAGUGUGGUCAUAUUGCGCGGUAGCUCGACUGAUAGAGCGUUGCACUAGCGAUGCAAAGGUGAGCCGAAAUUGUCGUAGAAGCACCACAAAAUGACGUGGUUGCAUCAACAACUGGAUUUUAAAUCUUACGUUUGCUUAUUCUGACACUAUCGGUUAUGCUUAGGUUUAAGGUUCAGGUAAGGGUUUAGUUCGGUUUAGUCUCCCAUGCCGGAGACUUCGGUUCGAGUCCCGUUCGGAGUGGGGUGACCAGGACCGGUUACAAUGGUGCCGUGACCCGGAUGGGAGUGAGGUUUAGGGGGGUGAGUGUAACAGGAGCUGCUGGUAGAUAGCUGUAAACCUCAUUCUCCUGACCUCAAGAGGUGCACUAGCGACUGACGCUAGAGCCUGUAGCCUUUAGCCUCCUUGUUAGCGCACCCACCUACCACGCCGGAGACAUCGGUUCGAGUCCCUUUCGGAGCGGGGCGACCAGGACCGGUUACAAUGGUGCCGUGACCCGGAUGGGAGUGAGGGUUUAGGGGGGUGAGUGUAACGGGAGCCAGCUGGUAGAUUGCUGUGCAAUGUGUAUUAAACUCACUCUCCUGACCUCAAGAGCUGCACUAGCGACUGAUCUAGAGCACCCGCCUCCCACGCCAGAGACAUUGGUUUGAGUCCCGUACGGAGCGGGUAGAGCAAGAGUGUCACACUUGCAAAUAUAAACCAUUCUGAGGUUAGUAUAUGUUCUGUAACACUGUUAACAUAAAUCAACCAGAAGUUUAGUUUUUUACAUUUCAAUGACUUACAGUUAGAAUUUAAAUAUAUUAAAUAAAACCGAGAGUUAAAUGGUGCAAAAAGUGAUUAUUAGAAUUAUACUGAGAAAAAAUCCUGAAUAAUGCAACAGUCAUAUAUAUUAGUCCCUCAAACACAGAAAACAGCCACAUGUAUUGUUGUUCAGUAUAACACUGUCACAUCAUUUCUCAGAAACACACUAAAUUUACACACAAAUAUAAUCUUUCAGUUCGUUUAAAUGAUAGUGUGAAUCUCACAAAACCUGUCAAGAAACUAUACGGGUCAUAUUUCGCCUACAACGACUUUCGAGACAAUUACCGGUCUUGUAAUUAUUACUGUAAUUUUCAAAUGUUCAUUUUUAACAUACGUCAUAGCAGUAAUUUUUAUAAUGCAUUUAGUUUUCAACAAUAUACAGAUUUUCAUUACAGAGUUUGGCCAGGUUGAUUUUCUUUACUAUUGCAUGAGAGUCAUUAAAAUGGGGGUUAAGUUGUUUAAUUUGCAUGAAAACAAUGUCAAGAUAAUGAUGAUAAAAAAAAUUCUUUAUGCAAUAUAUAAAUUCUUGUUGGUUUUUCUUUUGAGGAUAUUACUUCAUGAGAUUCAUUCAAUAAGAAACACAAAUGGUUUGUUUUGUAUAUUGAAUUUCACUAGAACUCCCAUUAACUCAUUCAUUACCGGUGCCAGCUCGCCAGUUUAAUUGCAUUAGCUAUUAAAACCCUUUUUUUAUUUUUUUUUUUUAUUACCGCUGUAUUACACAACUACAUUUUAAAGGGACAGUUCACCCAAAGAUUAA